rnacentral:misc_RNA from 1 species
ACCUACUGUUUAAUUUUGAGGGUUCGUUUUUACGAAUACUCAAAAUUAGCACUUUAAGCAACGGGAUUUAUCCGUUGGCGACGUGCUUUAGCACUUUGAAAACUGCAUAUAUAUUUAGUGAUAUGACAUCUAAUUUGUAAUAUAUAAAGCUGAUAACUUUUUAAAAUUAUCGAAGUUGAUAGCUUCUAAUCUAUCAAACCUUUUUAACUGGUCAA